GACGAACGCUGGCGGCGUGCUUAACACAUGCAAGUCGAACGGAAAGGCCUGCUUUCCCUUGUGGAUUGCGGGUACUCGCGUGGCGAACGGGUGAGUAACACGUGAGUGAUCUGCCCCCAACUUGGGUAUAAGCCUGGGAAACUGGGUCUAAUUCCCGAUAGGACUGCAGGGUGGUGCCUGUGGUGGAAAACGAUUUUCUAGUGGUUGGGGAUGAGCUCGCGGCCUAUCAGCUUGUUGGUGGGGUACUGGCCUACCAAGGCGGCGACGGGUAGCCGGCCUGGGGGGGUCGACGGCCACAUUGGGACUGAGAUACGGCCCAGACUCCUACGGGAGGCAGCCGUGGGGAAUAUUGCACAGUGGGCGGAAGCCUGAGGCAGCGACGCCGAGUGGGGGAUGACGGCCUUCGGGUGGUAAACUCCUUUCGACCGCGAGGAAGCCACCUGGUUGGAAGGGUGGUGACGGUAGUGGUAGAAGAAGCACCGGCUAACUACGUG
rnacentral:rRNA from 1 species